CGAUCCAAGAUGGCGUCUCUAAGUAGUUCUUCUCUGAGUUUAUUCUUCGUUGAUGAGCAUAAAUCCAUAACAAAAGGCGAGAAUCACUACAAAUCAGGUCACGUUGAGACUUUUAUCUACGAUCAAGGAGUUAUCAGAGGUCAAGUCAAAGCAAGUAUGAAGGAUAUGUGAUAUAUAGUGACGAUCUACCUUGAUGGUAAAUUUAACAUAACGUAAACUAGCUGUGAAUUUCCACGUGGAGCAUUCGGCCGCCCACUUCAUCCAUGGCAUCCAUAAUCUCAGCCGAACAGACAUCCAGUGUUCGUGGAAGAUGAAAAAAAAAAACUGAACCCAACAACAAUCAACAAUCAGCAGUUGAAAUGUUCCCACUGAAGAAGCAAUACAAAGCGUUAUCACGAGAUCCUAACGAAGAGGACAGAAUUUUUUAUUUUCAAGGCUGCAAAGAUAAGGAAAAUUUACUGGUAUAUGGCUGAUUAGGACCCCAGAGCCACCUAAGGUUAAUCCAAUGCCUAUCCCCACAAUAGAAGAGCUUAUAUAUUCUGAGAACCUUUUAGAAAUUCAAGGUCUACAAAAUCAGAUUGCCCACCACAAACGUAGAUCAUGCAAUGUCUGAACUGACCAAAGGCCAAAGAGAUAACUCUAUGUGGCACCAAGCAAGAAAAGGUGGACUAACGGCAAGCAACUUUGGGAGUGUCCUCAAGUGCAAAAGAGUAACACCAUCUUUAAUGAAGCAUCUCUUUGGAGAUGACCUUUCAAGACUGAACCUCUUUUCCAUUUAAUGGAAAAGAGGAUUUAGAGUUCUUUGUUAAUUCAACUGCUCUACCCGUACCAGAAACUGGUCUGUGGUUACAUGAGAGAGGUAUACUAGGGGCAUCACCUGAUGGACUUGUGGGUCAGAAUCAUGUCCUUGAAAUUAAGUGCCCCUAUACCGAACGAAAUGAACUGAUUGUUAAUGCAGUAAAGAAUGAGUCCUUCUGUUUGAAAAUCAACAAAGAUGGCUGUUAUAACUUGCUAUACCUUACGGGUAAAUAUCCCCUAGAUAAAGGGAUAAAUAUGAUAAAGGAGUAAAUAUCCCUUAUUUGUAAAUACCCCUCAGAGGGAUAUUUACAAAGACACCAUGUGGGACAAUAUCUCCUAUGAGGAAUUCCUUGUCAGCUAGAACCAAGUCACUAGUUUCCAACUGUUUCAACAAACCUCACUUCUUUACAUUAUCUUUGUCUGAUAUAGAGCCAGGGAACAGUGGAGUAAUAAAAGUGAUAACAGCAUUAAGUGCCACUCCAACUAAUACUUUAAAACUUUAAAUGAAUUCAUUCCUGUAUAGCUAGGAUAGGUGGCACUCUGUUGGCUCAUAAGCCCUAGGGCUGCAAUCUCUAUAUCUGUGCAAUCUAUCACUACUUUACAAGAGCCAAAUCCUGAAAAAGAGGGUGGUGAGCAGGUGUUGUUUUUCAAUCUUGAUGGAAUGGUUGUCAUAAUAUCUUCAAACAAAAGAUCAUGUAAAACGUAUGUAAAAGUAAUAACAAUAUUAAUAAUAGUAACUUGAGAACAGCAAAAUAGCUGUGCUAGAUGUAGAUUGGUGUAAUUCUGUCUACAUUUCAUAUAGGCAAUAAAACUGUGAUCUUCAAAAGGUAUAGUAACAACAGCCCAACCAUAAAAGUAAGAAAUGGAAUCUUUAAAACGUAAAGCAUAAUCAAAAACAAUGUUAAAAAUCUCUUUGAUAGGUAAACCUGUUUCCAUCCUCAAGACUUAUGCACUUAGAUUUGUUACACUGUAUAAUGAGUUUUCUGGUACUGUUCUUUUUUUUCACUGCAGUCUAGCUUCCUCUCUGGAGUACCACCUCUUGCACUGAUGAACUAGCAGUAGACCUGUGUUUUGUGUUAUCUUUUUCUUUGUAUUUUGACACCAUUUCUUCGACAGAUUCUGCUUGUGAUGUUUUUUCAGUUUCCGUGCCUUUGCUUUUGCCUUUGCAGCAGCCGAGCAGUCAUCAGAAGGGAAAAGAGUGUUGAAAUUUCGCCUGGAAAUUUCGCGUAGAAAUCUGAGGUCCCUUUUCUUUAAAGCCAUCACGAAAGUGGCAGCUGCAAACUCUGGAGUAUUUUCCUCGAGAUCGGUCAGCUCGUCUACGGAAAACAUGUUUUAAUACCACAGGAAACACUCAAAAAAUGAAAAGACAACUUGUAAACAAAAGACUUCCAUAUUUUCGCCACGAUGAAUCUGCUAUCAAAACGAUCAUAAAUCUUACCUUAAAAGUCUUAACAAACGCUUAUAAUCUUCUUUCUUCUUUGUACUGCUUGAAAAACCAAAAAAACGGAAGCUAUGGCUUUCUGAAGCGUGAUUACAAUCAGGUGCAAAGCACUGAACCAUGUUGAUCUUGCCGUCACAAGAACGCUUCAGUUCUGACGUUCAAAUUGUCAAAAAAUAUCCAAGAGAUAUCGAUAAUUGAAUGAUUAUAUCAACAAUUACUUUCGAUUGUCUAUUUUAUCCGCUUUUCUGACAUAAGCUAGUUUUCCGUAAUAAUUGGAGGUUAAGUUACCAAAACAAAGAGGUCACGUUAAUGGCGCGCAACGUGAAACAUUUGUUUACAACAGAAAAAUCUAGCACCAUGGCAACGUGACGUCACACUUUAGAACUCUAUCCCUGUAACAUAGCUGUCUGAAGUGUAAGUUGUAGGCGUUACGCAUAUGCUUGUCAAUGUCAUGCAUUCUAAAUAGCUGUCAAUACUUGUAAUUAGGUAUGCCAAUGUAGACUAUUUUAAGACUUGUGCUGUAGUUUGGAUUGUAAUACCUUUAUUUUGUGUCAACGGUAAAUUUUUUCGUUGGAUACUACACCGCCCACGUGCUUUGCGGAAGCCGGUAUGAUCGUUUUACAGUUUUAAUUUCCCCUCUUAUCAUGCCCCAACUCUGUCUUGUCUUUGGUUAUUUUGAAUUUGGUUGUGUUACAGGUAUGAACAAGCAAGCAAUUUAAAAGUGAUUAUUGUUUAAGCUUUCAAGGCUGUAUGUUUCUUUUGUAAUAAAAAUUUUCCAAACUUGG
rnacentral:lncRNA from 1 species